rnacentral:lncRNA from 1 species
CAGGGUUAAUAAAGAGCUUUAUUUGGCUUGUACAUUCAUGACUUUCAUACAUUCUCAAUUAAUUUGCCAUUAAAGUGCCAGACAUUUCCUUAAUCAUGAUGACAUUUGUUAAAAGAAAUCGGAACUUUUCUCAGGACAUAGCAGUCAUGAAUGAACACUUUUCUUAUCAAACCCAGAAUGUAAGCCCCUCACGUUGACCUGGUGGGUUGGACAAUUUGCAAACAGAUUCAAAUCCCCUCUCACCUCGAGCACCAAACUAGGCUGGGACUAACACACCUGGGGAUUAAAAAGUCAUGCUACAGAGAUUGAGAAACAACCACCCACUGGCUGCCACCUCUUCAGGUCUAUGCCAGGGCUUCACGGGUCCAACCUUCAGAGCAAUUAAGACCUUGCUCCCUCUGCCACCUUUUAUCCCACCCUCCCUUACUCACAAAAGCCCCCAAAGUCAUUACAAUGAAAAAAGAGUGGGUUUCCAUUACCCAGGUACUGAAGAUGUUCAGUAAAAAUAAGGAAGAUAAACACAAAAGCUUGCUUAGUAAACACGAGCUCUCAGCGUUCAAUGCAAAAAAAAAAAGAAAGAAAGAAAAAGGAAAAAGAAAAGAAAACAGAAACCAAAAAAAAAAAAAAAAACUGAAAUCUUAAGGCAAUACUGUUGACUUUGCACGUGGGCCAGAUGAACUUAGAACUCUUUACCUAGCUGCAGAGUCCCAGGAGCCUACAGGCACUUGGUUUGUCGGCACUUGCCACUGGCAGGGGCAAGAUCUUUGCAUUAUUGCUUAGGCUAUUGGGGUGUUUCUCUUUGGAGUUUAUAUACAAACACACCCAAGGCUGAUGUUUUAUAUAUAUAUAUAUGUACAUGCAUGAAGGCCCACUACUCUUUCUUUGUGGAAACUGACAGUUCUACCUCAGGAAGCUGGAUACCAACCUUGGUCCCACUGUCGUUGCUAGAGGAGGAAGACAGUCGGGACUUCUUCGAGGCCAAGGACACGCCACUCCCCUGUAACUUGCCUGCCUCAUCAUCACUCCCAGUAACCUCAUAAUGACCUUUGCUCUUUGAUCCCAAGCCACCAAAGGUACCAAACUUCAGCUUUCCAUGCUUGCCUUUAGCGUCUCCACCUGCAAACUCCAAAGUCCCAGUUGGGGUGGAAGGCGCUGAGAACUCCCUCUCAUCACUGAAGGAGUUGGAGCGGUGUCGUGGCUUCUUACUUUUAAAUAGGGAGAAUUUGCCUUUGGGUGAAGAUGCUUCCGCUUCCACUUCUCCUUCCAGGGAGCCCAAGCUGGCCUUUGAGCUCUUCAGGUCCCCUUUGGACCCAGAAAUGGAUGCUUCAGGUGAGCCAGUGACACCACCUUUUCCUUUAGAUUUAGAAAAGAUAUGCUUGGGCAUUUUGAUUUUGGAUUUUUUCAGUUUUACUUCAGACUCUUCCCACUUGCCUUCUCCAGCACCAGCCUGCACAUUGGCCUCCACUUUAGGGAAGUUGACAUCCACUCCUACUUCUCUACCGAUGAGCUCGCGGCCAGAGAAGGUAAACUUAGGGAUCUUCAUCUUGGGGAAUGUUACUUUUCCAGAUUCACUUUCCAAGUGACCUUGAGGCCCAGACACACUCAGCCCGGGACCCUGGAGUCCGGUCUGGCCCCCUUUCACGUCUCCUUCUAUCUUUGGUCCUGAGAAAUGAAGGUUCCCAGCAAGUUUAGAUGUAUCCAAGUUUAGAGAAGAGGAGACUUGGGGUCCCUUCCACUCAACUCCAGAGCCUUUGACACUCAUAUGCCCUUCACCCAGGUUGAUAUCUGGGACACUGACACCCCCUGAAACAUCUACACCUCCUUUGACUUUGGGGCCCUUCAAGCUGACACCAAAAUCUGACUCAGGAGAUGCCACAUUAAAGGAAGGCCCCUUGACACCGAUAUCAGGAACAGCUCCAUGGAGACCUAGUCCUGAACCUUUCAGAUCUCCUUUAAUUUCGGGACCAGAAAUCUGCCCUGAUGAGAGUUUCACAUCACACCCAGAAGCCUUAAUUCCAGGCAUUUGGAGGUUUCCUUCUGGGCCUUGAAUGCUGAUGCCUGGAAGAGCUCCCCCAAUCGCUGGGCCUUUCAAUUCACCCGCAGCCCCGAGGCUCCCCUUCACUUUUGGUCCUUCCAAGUUAAAGUCCAUGCUUGGUGCUGAGAUCUGAGGCCCUUUCAGAUUCACAUCCAUCCCUGAUCCCUUUAGUUCUCCACAAACUUGUGGCCCCUUGAUGUUAAUGUCCAAGUCGGAUCCCGGAGUGGAGAUGCCAAACUGAGGCAGUUUCAUGUGGGGAAGUUUGACAGCACCUUCUGAAGCCUCCAAGCUAACAUCAGGAGUAGCCACAGACACUUUAGGACAUUUGAUGUCUCCAGACACAGCCAGAUCUCCCUGUAGACUUGGUCCCUUCAGUGUUACAUCUGGUGCCCCAACACUGAGUGCUGUUGUGGCAUCAAUCCCUGACAUUUUCACACCAUCUGCUCCUAUAUGUACUUUUCCACCAACACCUUUGAGGUCAAGACCUGGGGCGUGCAGCUUCAUGCUGGGACUGGAGGCACCCAGGUCUCCCUUCAAACUUGGUCCUUUCAAGUUCAUGUCAAGAUCAGGCCCAGACACUUUUGGCAUAGAGAGGUCCACCGAAGGCAAGUCUACUCCUGGGCCUUUUAGAGACAGAUGAGGCCCUUCAAGCUUCAUAUCUGAUGUGCUCAACCCUCCUUCAAGAGAGGGCAUCUGAGCGCCGAUCUCAGUGCUCCCACCUUCCAUUUUCACACCUGGGGCACUGAUCUUGGGCAAGGAAAACUUAGGGAACUUGAUUUUCCCUUCUGGACCUUGUAGAUCUAUGUUAGGUCCUUCCAGUCCCACACUGGGAACAUCACCUUUUAUCUUUGGUCCUUUCAAAUUAACAUUCACAUCGGGUAUGGAGACUUGAGGAGCAGAAACACUAAAAGAGGGUGCUUUGAUUUUAGCUUCAGGGCCUUCGAUGUUGAUGUCAGGUGUGUCCAAGUUUGCCUGCACCUUGGGACCUUUCAAGUUGCCCUCUAUCUUUGGCCCUGAGGCUUCCACGCCUGGCACCUUGAACUUGGGAGCCUUCAUAUGAAUAUCAGGAGCUUCCACAUUAAUCCCUGGUGAAGAAAUAUCCACAUCUGGUACCUUGAUUUCACCCUCCAGCUUGGGGCUAGGUAGGGGAGCCUCUGCUUUAAAUUUAGGUGACUUAAUGUCAAAUUCUACAUCUGGAAAGUACAUUUUUCCAAACAUAGUUUUCUUGACUUUGGGAGAUUUUACUUCAGCUUUGAGUGCAGCAUCAGGCCCUGCAACACUAACAUCUACAUCAGGAGCUUUGAGACUGGUAUCAAUCUCACCUCCAGGAAUAUUCAAAUCAAAUCCCUGUUUUUUGGCUUUAACUUUAGGACCACUCAUGUGAAUUUUAGGCAUUUUAAACUUGCUUUUCUUGCUCUUGCCACCAAUGUUUAUUUCAGGAGAAUCAACAUUCAGCUCUGCUUCAGGGACAGUCACAUCAACUGUGGGUGUCUUGAUGUCAGCUUUGGGGCUUUUUGCACCAAAUCCAAACUUGGGUUUCUUAAAUUUCGGAACUUUAACAUCCGGCCCCUCAAUAUUAAUAUCAGGGCUUUCCAUGUGGACAUCUAAGCUUGGAGUUUCUAAAUCAACUUUAGGCCCCUUGAGGUCUACCUCACCACCUCCUAACUUAGGCGCAGAAAUUCCAACUUUCGGUGUCUUAAGGUGCACAUUAGCAUCAGGCCCAGUUAUUUUAGGAACAGAUACCUCCAGCGAUGGCAUCUUCAAGUUAGGCCCACUAAGUUUAGCAUCAGGGCCUUCAAAAUCCAGACCUGGACCUUUCAUAUCUAUUUCAGGUCCUUUGAGAGUACCUUCAAUCUUAGGGACAGACCCAUCAAAGGCUCCUUUUACUUUGGGUCCUUUUAACUCCAGAUCAACAUCAGGCAUAGAGAUCUUGGGAGCCUUGAUGUUAAUCUCAGGCAUCCUGAAUUUGGGACCUUUUACUUUCAUAUCUGGACCCUCAACAUUAACAUCUGGAACAUCAAUGUCCACCUUGGGUCCUGAAACAUCAAGGUCAGCCUUGGGCAGAUUUACAUCCACUUCUGGGCCCUCUCCUUUGAAGCCAGGCAUGCUGAACUUGGGCAUUUUCACCUUGGGCAUCUUCAGGUGCCAGUCUGGGCCAUGAACAUCCACAUCUGGAACAUCAAUGUCCACUUUGGGGCCUUUGAUGUCAACUUCAGGAACUUUAAUCUCACCUUCCACUUUAGGCAGAGACACAUCCACAUCACCCUUCACUUUGGGGCCUUUCAGGUUUAAGUCAAUAUCAGGCAUGGAGAUCUUGGGAGCCUUGAUGUUCAUCUCAGGCAUCUUGAACUUGGGGCCCUUCAGUUUUGCAUCUGGCCCUUCAAUGUUCACAUCAGGAACAUCAAUGUCCACCUUGGGUCCUGAGACAUCAAUGUUAGCCUUAGGCAGGCUCACAUCCACUUCUGGGCCCUCUCCUUUGAAGCCAGGCAUGCUGAACUUGGGCAUUUUCACCUUGGGCAUCUUCAGGUGCCAGUCUGGGCCAUGAACAUCCACAUCUGGGGCACUGAUGUCCACUUUGGGACCUUUGAUAUCAACUUCAGGACCUUUGAGGUCUCCUUCCACUUUUGGUAGAGAAACAUCUACAUCACCCUUCACCUUUGGCCCUUUCAGGUUCAGGUCAACUUCUGGCAUUGAAAUCUUGGGUGCCUUGAGGUGUAGAUCAGGCAUUUUAAAUUUAGGGCCCUUCAGUUUCCCUUCUGGACCAUGAAUGUCAAUAUCAGGAGUGUCAAUGUCCAGUUUAGGGCCUUUGAUAUCCACUUUGGGACCUUUCAAGUCCCCUUCUGGUUUAGGAAUAGAAAUGUCCAAAUCUCCUUUUAUCUUAGGCCCUUUCACAUUCAAAUCAAUGUCACUCAUUGAGAUUUGUGGAGUUUUGAAUUGGACAUCUGGCACCUUAAAUUUGGGGCCUUUGAGUUUUCCUUCAGGACCCUCAAUGUCUAUUUCUGGCCCUUUAAGAUCACCUUCAACAUUAGGGAGUGCAAGGUCCACAUCUCCCUUAACUUUAGGUCCUUUUAGAUUUAAAUCAAAGUCAGGCAUGGAGAUCUUGGGAGCUUUGAUAUGCAUGUCUGGCAUUUUAAAUUUGGGUCCUUUUAAUUUUCCUUCUGGAACUUCAAUAUUGACAUCAGGAGUGUCAAUAUCCACAGUGGGGCACUUUAUAUCAAUACCAGGACCCUUUAAUUCACCUUCCAUUUUAGGCAAGGAAGCAUCCACAUCACCCUUCACUUUGGGACCUUUCAGAUGCAAAUCAAAGUCAGGCAUAGAGAUCUUGGGAGCUUUUAUGUUCAUCUCAGGCAUCUUGAACUUGGGACCCUUCAGCUUUGCAUCUGGUCCUUCAAUGUUCACAUCAGGAACAUCAAUGUCCACUUUAGGCCCUGAGACAUCAAUGUCAGCCUUGGGCAGAUUUACAUCCACUUCUGGGCCCUCUGCUUUGAAGCCAGGCAUGCUGAACUUAGGCAUUUUCAUCUUGGGCAUCUUCAGGUGCCAAUCUGGGCCAUGAACAUCCAUAUCUGGGGCACUGAUGUCCACUUUGGGACCUUUGAUAUCAACUUCAGGGCCUUUGAGGUCUCCUUCCACUUUAGGUAAAGAAACAUCUACAUCACCCUUCAACUUUGGUCCUUUCAGGUUCAGGUCAAUUUCUGGCAUUGAAAUCUUGGGUGCCUUAAGGUGGAGAUCAGGCAUUUUAAACUUAGGGCCCUUCAGUUUCCCUUCUGGUCCUUCAAUAUUAACAUUAGGGCCUUCAAUGUCCACCUUGGGUCCUGAGACAUCAAGGUCAGCCUUGGGCAGAUUUACAUCCACUUCUGGACCUUCUCCUUUGAAGCCAGGCAUGCUGAACUUAGGCAUUUUCACCUUAGGCAUCUUCAAGUGCCAGUCAGGACCAUGUACAUCAACAUCGGGGGCACUGAUGUCCAUUUUGGGACCUUUGAUGUCAACCUCUGGGCCUUUGAGAUCACCUUCCACUUUGGGCAGGGAAACAUCUACAUCACCCUUCACUUUGGGACCCUUAAGAUGUAAAUCUGGCAUGGAGAUCUUUGGAGCCUUGAUGUUCAUCUCAGGCAUCUUGAACUUAGGACCCUUCAGCUUUGCAUCUGGACCUUCAAUAUUCACAUCAGGAACAUCAAUGUCCACCUUGGGUCCUGAGACAUCAAGGUCAGCCUUGGGCAGGUUCACAUCUACUUCAGGGCCUUCUCCCUUGAAGCCAGGCAUGCUGAACUUGGGCAUUUUCACCUUGGGCAUCUUCAAGUGCCAGUCUGGGCCAUGAACAUCCACAUCUGGAACAUCAAUGUCCACUUUGGGGCCUUUGAUGUCAACUUCAGGGACUUUAAUCUCACCUUCCACUUUGGGCAGAGACAUAUCCACAUCACCCUUCACUUUGGGGCCUUUCAGGUUUAAGUCAAUGUCAGGCAUGGAGAUCUUGGGGGCCUUGAUGUUCAUCUCAGGCAUCUUGAACUUGGGACCCUUCAGUUUUGCAUCUGGUCCUUCAAUAUUCACAUCAGGAACAUCAAUGUCCACCUUGGGUCCUGAGACAUCAAGGUCAACCUUGGGCAGGUUCACAUCCACUUCUGGGCCCUCUGCUUUGAAGCCAGGCAUGCUGAACUUGGGCAUUUUCAUUUUGGGCAUCUUCAGGUGCCAGUCUGGGCCCUGCACGUCCAUAUCUGGAGCAUUGAUGUCCAUUUUGGGACCUUUGAUGUCAACAUCUGGGCCUUUGAGGUCACCUUCCACUUUGGGCAGGGAAACAUCUACAUCACCCUUCACUUUGGGACCCUUAAGAUGUAAAUCUGGCAUGGAGAUCUUUGGAGCCUUGAUGUUCAUCUCAGGCAUCUUGAACUUGGGGCCCUUCAGCUUUGCAUCUGGACCUUCAAUAUUCACAUCAGGAACAUCAAUGUCCACCUUGGGUCCUGAGACAUCAAGGUCAGCCUUGGGCAGAUUUACAUCCACUUCUGGGCCUUCUCCUUUGAAGCCAGGCAUGCUGAACUUGGGCAUUUUUAUUUUGGGCAUCUUCAGGUGCCAGUCUGGGCCAUGGACAUCCACAUCUGGAACAUCAAUGUCCACUUUGGGGUCUUUGAUGUCAACUUCAGGAACUUUAAUCUCACCUUCCACUUUGGGCAGAGACACAUCCACAUCACCCUUCACUUUGGGGCCUUUCAGGUUUAAGUCAAUGUCAGGCAUGGAGAUCUUGGGGGCCUUGAUGUUCAUCUCAGGCAUCUUGAACUUGGGGCCUUUCAGUUUUGCAUCUGGCCCUUCAAUAUUCACAUCUGGAACAUCAAUGUCCACCUUGGGUCCUGAGACAUCAAGGUCAGCCUUAGGCAGGCUCACAUCUACUUCAGGGCCUUCUCCCUUGAAGCCAGGCAUGCUGAACUUGGGCAUUUUUAUUUUGGGCAUCUUCAGGUGCCAGUCUGGGCCAUGAACAUCCACAUCUGGAACAUCAAUGUCCACUUUGGGGCCUUUGAUGUCAACUUCAGGAACUUUAAUCUCACCUUCCACUUUGGGCAGAGACACAUCCACAUCACCCUUCACUUUGGGGCCUUUCAGGUUUAAGUCAAUAUCAGGCAUGGAGAUCUUUGGAGCCUUGAUGUUCAUCUCAGGCAUCUUGAACUUGGGGCCCUUCAGUUUUGCAUCUGGCCCUUCAAUGUUCACAUCUGGAACAUCAAUGUCCACCUUGGGUCCUGAGACAUCAAUGUUAGCCUUAGGCAGGCUCACAUCCACUUCUGGGCCCUCUCCUUUGAAGCCAGGCAUGCUGAACUUGGGCAUUUUCACCUUGGGCAUCUUCAGGUGCCAGUCUGGGCCAUGAACUUAGGCAUUUUGACCUUGGGCAUCUUCAGGUGCCAGUCUGGGCCAUGAACUUCCACAUCUGGUGCCUCUACUUUAGGACCUUUGAUGUCAACAGCAGGAGCUUUUAUUUCUCCUCCCACUUUUGGAACUGAGACAUCACAAUCUGCUUUUACCUUAGGGCCUUUCAAAUUCAAGCUAACAUCUGGCAUGGAUAUCUUCUGAGGCUUUAUGUUCAUUUCUGGCAUCUUAAAUUUUGGACCUUUUAGUUUUGUAUCUGGACCUUCAAUAUUUACAUCUGGAACAUCGAUGUCUACCUUGGGUCCUGAAACAUCAAUGUUGGCCUUGGGGAUGUCUACUUCUGGACCUUCUCCUUUGAAGCCAGGCAUGCUGAACUUGGGCAUUUUCACCUUGGGCAUCUUAAGGUGCCAGUCUGGGCCAUGAACCUCAACAUCUGGAGCAUCAAUGCCAACUUUGGGUCCUUUAAUGUCCACAUCUGGCACUUUUACUCCACCUUCUACCUCAGGCAAUGAUGCAUCCACAUCUGCUUUUCCUUUGGGCCCCUUAAUAUUCAAGUCCACAUCAGGCAUGGAGAUCUUGGGGGCCUUGAAGUGCAUGUCAGGCAUCUUAAACUUGGGGCCCUUCAGCUUCCC